UACGAAGGGGGCGAGCGUUGUUCGGAUUUAUUGGGCGUAAAGAGCGUGUAGGCGGCCACACAGGUCUGCUGUGAAAACUCGAGGCUCAACCUCGAGCUGUCGGUGGAAACCGUGUGGCUAGAGUCCGGAAGAGGAGAGUGGAAUUCCCGGUGUAGCGGUGAAAUGCGCAGAUAUCGGGAAGAACACCCGUGGCGAAGGCGGCUCUCUGGGACGGUACUGACGCUGAGACGCGAAAGCGUGGGGAGCGAACAGG
rnacentral:rRNA from 1 species